GUCUUGGUAGCAGACCACAGCAUCCACUACAGUAAUGUAUGACUCUAUCCCAGAUGUAUAACCCGUCAGGGAAAACAAAUACUUUUAUCAGUCCAUCAGAUCAUCCUAGUCAAAGAAUGAAAGUUUUUCUUGGAAAGCAUGAGAACUAUCAAGAUGUCAUCACUUGGUCAGCAAAGCAGUAAGAUUGUAAAGUAGGGCAGAAGAUACACGUGAACGGAGCCACCUCCCUGCAGUCUGUGCUCCCCACCACAGCUAUAUGCUGCUCCUGAGGCAGAGUAGGAAUCUGAUCCUGUGGACGUAAAUCAGACCACUGCCUUCCUACAACAGACCUAGGCUCACAUUUAUGCAGAGGCUGGAGCACCAUGAAGAUGAGGAAGCCCUCAGGCCGUUUACUACCCAUGGAAGGUGAGGAGGAGUUUGUCAGAUGGAAGGUGGUUUGUGACAUUCCUAACCAUGGAGUAAUAAUAAUGUGAGAAGAUAUUAAGACAUCACUUGUUUAGAAAACUCCAAGAAUUUCAACGUGCCCACGAAUGAACAAAAGAGAACCCCCCUUCUCCGCGAUGUCAAGGGCCAAGGAAGAAAAGUUCAAUGAAAAGAAAAGAAGGUAAGUGGAGGAAACUACUUUGAAUUUAGCCUCUUUCAUAGAUAACAGGAGUUUGGAAACCAAGCUUUUAAACUUAAAUUCGGUUAGAAGAAAUUACCCUCCAAGGGGUUAAUUGGCCCACAAAGCGUAUACCAUGACUGGGGUUGGGAUAAGUGGCCCUCCCGUAUCCCCAUUUUCCUCCUGUAGGAGAGCAGUGUUUGAGGCAUUGCUAUAUUUAUGCGAAAUGGAGCGGUUUGCCAGGGGGACCACCCAGUGACCAGGUCUUAUUUGAGAUGCUUUCAUUGCCAGUCAGCAGACUCCCUACACCAUGAUAAGAGUCCAUCAUUCAGCAGCUAUGGUGUUCUCUUCCAAAGCUCUGGAGCUUAACAAGGACCACAUUCUCUCCUGUCUGGCUUUAAUAUUCUAGAUUCUAAGUAGCAUUUCCUCUGGUUAUACCUUUUCUUGCAGGAGUGAGACCCAGCUCUGCUGUUUCUCUUUUCCUUUUGCAACUGAUACCUGUGUGCUUGUGAUGCUUUAACUCACGGCUUUGAUCCAUUCCUUUCUACCUCUAAAACUCACAGACCCCUCUAAACAUGGGAGCACUUGAGUGCCCCCGACAUGAUGGUGGGGGCAUCCUUGAAAGUCAUCCAGCUCCCCUCUAAGUA